rnacentral:rRNA from 1 species
GAUGAACGCUGGCGGCGUGCUUAACACAUGCAAGUCGAACGGAAAGGCUCCUGCUUGCAGGGGUACUCGAGUGGCGAACGGGUGAGUAACACGUGGGUGAUCUGCCCUGCACUUCGGGAUAAGCCUGGGAAACUGGGUCUAAUACCGGAUAGGACGAUGGUUUGGAUGCCAUUGUGGAAAGUUUUUCGGUGUGGGAUGAGCUCGCGGCCUAUCAGCUUGUUGGUGGGGUAAUGGCCUACCAAGGCGUCGACGGGUAGCCGGCCUGAGAGGGUGUACGGCCAAAUUGGGGCGUGAAUACGGCCCAGACCCCUAGGGGGGGGCGGGGGGGGGAAUUUUGCACAAUGGGGGAAAGCCUGAUGCGCGGGCGCCGGGGGGGGGGUGGCGGCCUUCGGGUUUUAAAACCCUUUCCCUGGGGACGAAGGCCAAGGGGCGGUCCCUGGAAAAGAAGCCCCGGCUAACUACGU